rnacentral:rRNA from 1 species
AUGCUCCGCCUCCGUGGCUGCAUCCUCGUGCGGCUCCUCUCUUCCCCCGCCACCUCCCAGGGCCCCCCUCUCCACCGCCCCCUCUCCGCGGCCGCCGCGCCCGCCGUUUCCCCAAACCCUAGCUUCGCCGCCGACGACUACCUCGUCUCCACCUGCGGCCUCACCCGAGCCCAGGCGCUCAAGGCCUCCGCCAAGCUCUCCCACCUCAAGUCCCCGUCCAAGCCCGACGCCGUCCUCGCCUUCCUCGCCGGCCUCGGCCUCUCCGGCGCCGACGUCGCCUCCGUCGUCGCCAAGGACCCGCUGUUCCUCUGCGCCAGCGUGGAGAAAACCCUGGGGCCCAUCGCAAUUGAGCUCGCCGGCCUCGGCCUGUCGCAUUCCGAGAUCGCGCGCCUCGUCCUGCUCUCCUUCGUCCACUUCCGUUCCAGGUCCAUUGUUUCCAAGCUGCAGUACUACCUGCCCCUGUUCGGCUCCUCGGAGAACCUCUUCCGGGUGCUGAAGCUCGGCUACCUCGCCGGUGCUGACAUCGAGGGGACGGUCAAACCCAACGUCGCGCUCCUACGGCAGUGCGGGCUAGAUGAUUGCGAUAUCACCAAGCUGUCCCUCAGUAAGCGCGGAGUCCUGAGCAGCAAGCCAGAGCGCAUCGGGGCGAUGGUGGCAUGCGCCGAAGGCCUUGGCGUGCCUCGUGGCUCGGGGAUGUUCAGGCACGCGUUGGAUGCUGUCGGAUUCCUCGGUGAGGAGAAGAUCGCCGCCAAAGUGGCCUACUUGAAGAAGACGUUCAGGUGGUCAGACGCUGAGGUGAGCAUUGCUCUGCGUAAGGCUCCGUCUGUGCUGAGGAAGUCAAAGGAAUUACUGCAGCGCAGGUCUGAUUUCCUCAUCUCUGAGGUGGGGUUGGAACCGUCCUACAUUGCUGAACGGUCAGUAAUUAUCAAUUACAAGCUGGAGGGCCGGAUGAAACCCCGGUACUACGUUGUAAAGUUCCUCAUGGAAAAUGGAUUGCUCAAGUGCAACCCAGGCUACUACCAGACCGCUUUCAAGGUGAGAGAGAAGGUAUUCAUGGAGAAGUUCAUUUGCCCUCACAAGGAAGUUGCGCCGCACCUCUCUGAAGACUAUGCAACAGCUUGUGAAGGGGUAGUGCCGGCUAGAUUCAGAUUUACAUGA